CGGCAUAACAUACAACUUACAUGGUUUUAAAAAUCUAAUAUAGCCUGGUAUCCUCUGCUUCUUGAGUGCUUUUGCAGUAAAUCAACACUAUCACAUUUCAUUUUCAUAUUACUAAGGUUUCUAAUUAACUUGUUUCUCUGAAUCAAAUAAUUCCUACAACUCAAAAUAACAUGUUCCACUGUCUCAUCUUCCCCACAGUCACAUUUUCCUGUCUGAUGUUUCCCUAUCAAAAAUAGUGAUCUAUUCAAAAAAUCAACAGUAAAAAU